rnacentral:rRNA from 1 species
GGCUACGAGGACGAACGCUGGCGGCGUGCUUAACACAUGCAAGUCGAACGAUGAAGCCCAGCUUGCUGGGUGGAUUAGUGGCGAACGGGUGAGUAACACGUGGGUGAUCUGCCCUGCACUCUGGGAUAAGCCUGGGAAACUGGGUCUAAUACCGGAUAUGACCUCUUGCUGCAUGGCGAGGGGUGGAAAGUUUUCGGUGCAGGAUGAGCCCGCGGCUUAUCAGCUUGUUGGUGGGGUAAUGGCCUACCAAGGCGACGACGGGUAGCCGGCCUGAGAGGGCGACCGGCCACACUGGGACUGAGACACGGCCCAGACUCCUACGGGAGGCAGCAGUGGGGAAUAUUGCACAAUGGGCGAAAGCCUGAUGCAGCGACGCCGCGUGAGGGAUGACGGCCUUCGGGUUGUAAACCUCUUUCAGCAGGGACGAAGCGAAAGUGACGGUACCUGCAGAAGAAGCACCGGCCAACUACGUG